UUUCCGUAGGUGAACCUGCGGAAGGAUCAUUCAUAAUAAGUGUUUUACGGCACUUUUUUAAAUCCAUAUCCACCUUGUGUGCAAUGUCAGGGUUGAUUUUUCUCUCGAGAGGAUCAACCCCAAACAUCAACUAUAUCUCAACUCUUUGUCUGAAAAAUAUUAUGAAUAAACCAAUUCAAAAUACAACUUUCAACAACGGAUCUCUUGGCUCUC
rnacentral:misc_RNA from 1 species